CCUACGGGGGGCAGCAGUGGGGAAUAUUGCACAAUGGGGGAAACCCUGAUGCAGCGACGCCGCGUGAGUGAAGAAGUAAUUCGUUACGUAAAGCUCUAUCAGCAGGGAAGAAACACUGACCUUACGGUCAGCAGACGGUACCUGAGUAAGAAGCCCCGGCUAACUACGUGCCAGCAGCCGCGGUAAUACGUAGGGGGCAAGCGUUAUCCGGAUUUACUGGGUGGAAAGGGAGCGUAGACGGUGGGCCAAGUCUGGAGUGAAAGGCGGCAGCUUAACCGCGGAACUGCUUUGGAAACUGGCGAGCUGGAGUGCGGGAGGGGUAAGCGGAAUGCCUAGUGUAGCGGUGAAAUGCGUAGAUAUCACGAGGAACACCGAUGGCGAAGGCGGCUUACUGGACCGUAACUGACGCUGAUGCUCGAAAGCGUGGGGAGCAAACAGGAUUAGAUACCCGUGUAGUC
rnacentral:rRNA from 1 species